GUCCAUGCCGUAAACGUUGGGCGCUAGGUGUGGGGACCUUCCACGGUUUCCGUGCCGCAGCUAACGCAUUAAGCGCCCCGCCUGGGGAGUACGGCCGCAAGGCUAAAACUCAAAGGAAUUGACGGGGGCCCGCACAAGCGGCGGAGCAUGCUGAUUAAUUCGAUGCAACGCGAAGAACCUUACCUGGGUUUGACAUAUGCCGGAAAGCUGCAGAGAUGUGGCCUCCUUUUGGCCGGUAUACAGGUGGUGCAUGGCUGUCGU
rnacentral:rRNA from 1 species